rnacentral:lncRNA from 1 species
AAAGUAGAGAUUAUGAACUGAAAUGAGGAUUAAGAUUUUCAUGAACAAAUGCUUGAGAAAGUUAAGAAAGGUUUAAGAAGAUGUGUUAAGGAUUCAAAGGAAAAGAGAGAAUGAAGAUUGAUUUGUGGAUUGUUGAGAUUGAGAAAAGGAUAAUGAAAAAUGUUAAAAGGUGGGAAUACCCCACGAACUGUUAGUUGUUUAACUACGGGGGAAACGCAAAAUUGAUAAUUGGUUAAAAUCUGGAAGUACCCACGAACUGAAUGAUCAUUGAUCUCGGAGAAACCUAUAGAUUGUUAUUUGUUUUAUAUGCGGGAAAAACCCACGGACUGAUAAUCAUUGAUUACGGGAUUAACCCAUGAAUUGUUGUAUGUUGAUCUCGGGUAUAGCCCAUGAACUGAAGAUCAUUGUUUGCUGUGUAUUGAUCUCGGGUAUAACCCACGAACUGAAGAUCUCUGUUUUGUUUCUGAAUUGAUCUCGGGGACGCCCACGAACUGAGGAUCACUGUUUCCCCUUGUGCGUAUAUAAUGGGGUCGGACUUCGCGCCGACUGCCGGUAGUCACGAAGGAGUGGUAUUCUUACCACCGACACAUAUGCACUAAGGACACAAAAGGAAGCCAUAUCUGAGACUUGUUCCUAGGUAAUGUCGGGUUGUAGGGUGUAAACCGACACGUGAUCUCAUGGCCUGCUUAGGACAGACAUGCGUCAUAUUGGUUGUGCAUUUGCUUUUGGUUGUGUUUGCUUGUAUUACUUCUCUGUGAUUGUGUUGUUUGUUUUAUUGUGAUUUGUUUAUGUGUUUAAUUGAGUUUCUUACUUGUGCUAGUAGUCUGUGAAUGUAAUGAGAUGAUUGAUAACUGUUUGUUGUGACUGAGAAUCACUUUUACAACAUCUUAAUUCAAACCAUUUCUCUUUAUCACAUUACUCUUUUCUCUUUGUCUUUUUACUUUGCUCUGAUUACUCUUUUCUCUGUAUCCCUUUAUUCUGCUCUGGUUACUCUGUUCUCUGUAUUUCUUUACGCUGCUCUAAUUUCUCUGUUUAACGUAUGUAUUUAAAGCUUAUGUAAAUUUCGGUAUGAAUAGUUAGUCUGUCCCAAGUAUAGGUUCAUUAAGUCUAUACUGAAACAGUUUAACUUUUCAUAUAAUACCUAACCCUAUUCGCAAUUCCAGGACUAACUAUGUUGCCCUAAUUCGUUCACUAGUUUCUGUCUGGCUUUCUGUCAUUAAAACUUUACAGACUUUUUUUUCGAUUUCUAUCUUUUCUUCAACUUUUUAUCUUUUAUUUAUCUUUGCCUCACUAAUAUGUUUUUACUACUCCCUAAGUGUUUUAUUAAAGUAAUUAUGAAAAUCUAUAACUAAUUCUGUGAUGAUCGGAAUUGCGUGGGACCAAAUCUGGAUUAAGCUUUGGGAUAUAGGAAGCUGGACUGGUGAAUUAGAGGCUUUUUUAUUAAGUUUAUGAUUUAUGGUAAAUUUUUGAAUUAGGAAUGCUAAAUCUGGUUUUCUGCAGGACGCUUAAGACAGCAGCAACUUGUUUCCUCUAUUAAAAAUUCUCCAGUUUGAAUUUUGAAAUGGAACUAAUUUUAAAUGAAACUCUGUUUCUAGUACUUUAAUUUCAUAAAAAUUUAGAAUUGUUAGAGUUGUGGUUUUAAAGAUAUGAAUUUUUAAAGUAAGAGGUAUUAAGCAGUAAAAAUUAGGUUUUGUUUUCUAAGUCAGCAACUUUGAGCCUUUAUAAUUUUUAAUUCUGGAAUGAUAUUGAGAUGCAACCAAUUGGAGGUGAAAUUUGAGUAUGUUUAGUAUAUAUGAUUUAAAUUUCAGGGUAUUCCAUGUUUUAAUAAGUAAGUUAUGGGACUUGGAAGAGGUUGUGUUCAAUGAUUAGUAAAACAGAUUUCAGCAGAAAAUUACUUAACUUCCAAGCUACGUAACUCCUUCAUUAAAAAUGGUAUGACCCUGAAACCAAUUGAGAAAGAAAUUUGGAUAAGUUAUGUUUAACCACGUUAAUUUUGAAGGUUGUUGGAUUUAAUUUGGAUUUUAUAUGAAAUUUUGAAUGUUGUACGCUGCUGCUGUCUUCUGGUUUUAAGGCACUAUAGAGCAGUCACGGUUUUGCUUAUAUUCCCGAAGCUAGAGCCAGUGAAAAACUGUGAUUUUUAGUUUAAUAGGAAGCUUAAUCCGAGACGGACGCGUGGAUAUAAGGUUUGCGUAAUUUCGAAUUCGUUUGAUAUUUUUAAAAUAAAACUGAAAUUAGACUGCCGAUGUUGUUUUGAUGAUUACUUGGAUAUGAAAUUUGAGAAAUAUAUUUUCUAUAUUAUUAUCAAAUAUUUUUGAGAAUUUAUUAUUAUGGCAAUUGUUGAGAAAGGUUUGAUGAGAUAGAGAAAGAGGGAACCCGUAAGGGUGGCUAAGUCCGAAUUUUAGUGGAGGUGCUGUUGAAAUUUUAUAAAAUCUAUUUUAUUUGAAAAGUUAUUUUAGAAUAUUUGGAUUUGGAAAAUGAUAUAAUUUAAGUUUUAUUUAGUUAAGAAAAGAAUUAUUCUAUUUUGAAUUCGAUUUACCAAGAAAAGGUUUAUGUUUCAAAAUUAAAUUAUUUUUGAAAGAAACUAUGUUUUGCGAUUGAUUCAAUAUGAAAAGAAUUAUGUUUUAAGCUUGAAAUAAAGGUUUAUUUUCUAGAAGUUUGAUGAAUUUAUAAUAUUUGAAUUUGAAUAGUAAAGAGAGAGAUGAUUUUUGAGUCUUUGGGAAGUUAGUAAACUUGGAAAAAUUUUAUUUGAAUAAUUUUAAUGAGAGGAUUAUAUUUCAAAAAGUAUUUAGUGAAUUUAAAAUAUAUGAUUUACUUAUGUCUUUUGAAGAGGGUUAAACUAAAAAAAAAAGUUCUAAAGUUAGUUUUGAAUUAAGAUUGUUAAAGUAGAGAUUAUGAACUGAAAUGAGGAUUAAGAUUUUCAUGAACAAAUGCUUGAGAAAGUUAAGAAAGGUUUAAGAAGAUGUGUUAAGGAUUCAAAGGAAAAGAGAGAAUGAAGAUUGAUUUGUGGAUUGUUGAGAUUGAGAAAAGGAUAAUGAAAAAUGAUAAAAGGCGGGAAUACCCCACGAACUGUUAGUUGUUUAACUACGGGAGAAACGCAAAAUUGAUAAUUGGUUAAAAUCGGGAAGUACCCACGAACUGAAUGAUCAUUGAUCUCGGGGAAACCUAUAGAUUGUUAUUUAUUUUAUAUGCGGAAAAAAUCCACGGACUGAUAA